CACCCACUGGUACUUCAAGUAGCGUGCCACCACCUCAGCACCCCCCACCGCCACCUCUGCUACAUUAACAUCCAUCCAUUGAUUUUUUUUGUCCCCAGCUGACCAGGCAUGUAUCUUUUUUUGCGCUGUGGGAGGAAGCUGAAUUUUGGCAAAAGGCGGGAUACCCCCGGGAUUAGUCUGAAGCACGACAGAUUUUCCUUGUGUAUGAAUGGUGCUAUGCAAGUAAACUCACCUUGGAGUGGCAAUACUAAUGUGGAAAAAGUUUUAUAGCUUGAGCUAAACUUUCCCUCUUGCACGUUAACAUAAUUGAAGACACGGGAGGGAAAAAACCCUGUGAUACAGCAAGACCGCGACAGGAGAAGCGUGAGACACCAGGGAUUACUGUUAUAUAUAGUAUGCUAAUCAUACAUUAAACUUUAUGCAUGGAGUCGUCGUGCACAUUUCUUGCCUGUUAAGAUAGUAUAUUUUUUAUUUUAUCUGUCCCAUGUACUGUCAUAUACCUGUUCUAUAGAGCAGCAGCAGAGUAACUGUCAACAUGUUUCAACACUGGCCUCACAACAUUCCAAAGAAACAAGCUCAAACAUGGAUUCUCACUUUUCCCUUGUUCAUCUCCGAACAUCUUCCUGAGUAGGUCUCUGUGUUUUCUUCUCAGCAAGUGAGCCACCCUCAAAAGAGGGGAAAAAAAACAUUUUGAUGAGAAGUGACAUGCCAGGCAGGGACUGAACCACAAGGCAAAAUGGUCAUUAUCAUGCUAAUAGUUUAGGAAGAUGUUUGCAUUCUUUUCAGGUAGCCCUAAAAUGUCAGUGACUGGCUGAUCCUAAGGUGCCAAGAGGUAUUCAUUAAAGUUUUAUGAUUUGGUUAUGGUUUUGAAUCAGAAAGCCACUCUGGGCAUUGCUAAUAUGAUUAAAAAUUAUAAAGGGUU